rnacentral:rRNA from 1 species
CUACGGGAGGUAGCAGUGAGGAAUAUUGGGCAAUGGGGGAAACCCUGACCCAGCAAUGCCGCGUGCGGGAAGACGCCUUUCGGGGUGUAAACCGCUUUUCUGCAUGAAGAGGAAGGACGGUAGUGCAGGAAUAAGUCUCGGCUAACUACGUGCCAGCAGCCGCGGUAACACGUAGGGGGCAAGCGUUGUCCGGAUUUAUUGGGCGUAAAGAGCUCGUAGGCGGCUCGGUAAGUCGGGUGUCAAAUCCCCAGGCUCAACCUGGGGCUGCACUCGAUACUGCUGUGGCUAGAGUCCGGUAGGGGAGCAUGGAAUUCCUGGUGUAGCGGUGAAAUGCGCAGAUAUCAGGAGGAACACCAGCGGCGAAGGCGGUGCUCUGGGCCGGAACUGACGCUGAGGAGCGAAAGCGUGGGUAGCAAACAGGAUUAGAAACCCGAGUAGUCC